GGGUGGUAAUGCCGGAUGCUCCAGUUGAUCGCAUGGUCUUCUGGGAAAGCUUUCGCGGUAUGGGAUGGGGUCGCGUCCUAUCAGCUUGACGGCGGGGUAACGGCCCACCGUGGCUUCGACGGGUAGCCGGCCUGAGAGGGCGACCGGCCACAUUGGGACUGAGAUACGGCCCAGACUCCUACGGGAGGCAGCAGUGGGGAAUAUUGCACAAUGGGCGCAAGCCUGAUGCAGCGACGCCGCGUGAGGGAUGGAGGCCUUCGGGUUGUAAACCUCUUUUAUCGGGGAGCAAGCGAGAGUGAGUUUACCCGUUGAAUAAGCACCGGCUAACUACGUGCCAGCAGCCGCGGUAAUACGUAGGGUGCAAGCGUUAUCCGGAAUUAUUGGGCGUAAAGGGCUCGUAGGCGGUUCGUCGCGUCCGGUGUGAAAGUCCAUCGCUUAACGGUGGAUCCGCGCCGGGUACGGGCGGGCUUGAGUGCGGUAGGGGAGACUGGAAUUCCCGGUGUAACGGUGGAAUGUGUAGAUAUCGGAAAAAAAACACCA
rnacentral:rRNA from 2 species